GAUGAACGCUGGCGGCGUGCUUAACACAUGCAAGUCGAACGAAGCACUUUUGAUUGAUUUCCUCGAAAAGAUUCCACUUGUGACUGAGUGGCGGACGGGUGAGUAACGCGUGGGUAACCUGCCUCAUACAGGGGGAUAACAGUUAGAAAUGACUGCUAAUACCGCAUAAGCGCACAGCAUCGCAUGAUGCAGUGUGAAAAACUCCGGUGGUAUGAGAUGGACCCGCGUCUGAUUAGCUAGUUGGUGGGGUAACGGCCUACCAAGGCGACGAUCAGUAGCCGACCUGAGAGGGUGACCGGCAACAUUGGGACUGAGACACGGCCCAAACUCCUACGGGAGGCAGCAGUGGGGAAUAUUGCACAAUGGGCGAAAGCCUGAUGCAGCGACGCCGCGUGAAUGAAGAAGUAUUUCGGUAUGUAAAGUUCUAUCAGCAGGGAAGAUAAUGACGGUACCUGACUAAGAAGCACCGGCUAAAUACGUGCCAGCAGCCGCAGUAAGAC
rnacentral:rRNA from 1 species